rnacentral:rRNA from 1 species
UACGGAGGGUGCAAGCGUUGUUCGGAAUUAUUGGGCGUAAAGCGCGUGUAGGCGGCUAUUUAAGUCUGGUGUGAAAGCCCGAGGCUCACCUUCGGAAGUGCACUGGAUACUGGAUAGCUUGAGUACUGGAGAGGAGGUGGAAUUACCUGGUGUAGCGGUGAAAUGCGUAGAUAUCAGGAAGAACACCGGUGGCGAAGGCGGCCCUCUGGACAGCUACUGACGCUGAGACGCG